rnacentral:rRNA from 1 species
ACUCGUAGGCGGUUCGUAGCGUCCGGUGUGAAAGUCCAUCGCUUAACGGUGGAUCCGCGCCGGGUACGGGCGGGCUUGAGUGCGGUAGGGGAGACUGGAAUUCCCGGUGUAACGGUGGAAUGUGUAGAUAUCGGGAAGAACACCAAUGGCGAAGGCAGGUCUCUGGGCCGUCACUGACGCUGAGGAGCGAAAGCGUGGGGGGCGAACA